rnacentral:lncRNA from 1 species
GGAAGGAUUUGCUAUUCAUGCUUAAAUGUAUGUUACCUUAAAUCUUCUGACAAAUGGCCAGGGCUAUGUUGUUUUCCCUACUGCUUGAAUUAAAAUAUUUUUCAUAGAAAAUAAACUUCUCUGAAUUUUCUUCUGGACAGUGAUAUAACAAGGAACAGGGGAGACAGGAUGCCAAAAUAAUUUGAUGACAUUUGAGAUGAAUCAGUACCUUGCCAACAGAAACAGUGUUUGAGAGAUGCUUUGAUACAUUGACUGACCUGUCAUAGUGUAGUUGUUCAAAACUUUUGAUAAGAGGAUAGUAUGUUUAAAAUGAUGACAAAUGAAAGGCAGUGGUGGUACUGUCCUCAAGGAGUCACAUUAAUAUGUGCGCAUUUGUAUAUUUACAGGACUCCAGUUCAGACUUUGUCUUCACAAUCAAAAAAACCAGUUUUGCUGCAGAAAGGCUGUCAGCACCUGCCAUACCUGAGGGAUCUGCUGCUGUCAAGGAAGCGGUGUGGCAAGUCUGACUUCUCCACAUCCUAAUAGGUUCAGAGCGAACAUAUUUUCUGAGGACUUAACCAGAAU